AACGUGUCAAAGUCUGGUAACUCCACCACCGUUGGCGGAAUAUUAAAAAGCCAAUGGGGUACGAGUUUCCUACCAUUGACGCGUU
rfam:Trichomalopsis sarcophagae strain Alberta scaffold704, whole genome shotgun sequence.